GGGGGUUAGCGGGGGAUGGGAAGGGUGGGGGUCAUACUCCCAACAGAUCCAGACCCAGUGGGCAGUGGGAUGCCUCACACACAUGCGCUUGUGAGGAGGUGCCUCUUGAGCGACACUUCUCUGACACUGUUUGGGUCCCCACAGCCCCCUUUCCCAGUGUGUAUUCGUCUUUUCCUGAGUCUUCCGGCAGCCACCUUUGGAUCUCGGUAUGUUUCCACCUUUAUUUAUGAUGAUUAUUUUUGCGCUGCCAUCUCUGGAUGGUGACCCAUCUCCCCCCAGGGGAGGACGCGGAACUGGCCCCCCCAACAGAGCAUUCGGCCCCUCCUCCGUCUCCUGCACAGCGUUGCCCACAUGUCAUCACAGAGUUGAGCCUCCUGGGCUGGACCUGCGACUGAUUCCAAGAAUGACUAAAAAUCCAUGACGUCAGAGCACAGCAGCUCGGUGGGGGCCGCGGGGCUGCCUGUCCUUAGGGAGCCUCAGUGGGAGUCAGAGAGGCCCAGAGCCGGGAGCCUGUCGGCCACGAUCGGAGAUAAAAGAGGGGACAAGUCAAUACCGGUAGAGGCAGCACCUCGGUGGAAGGCGGUCCAGUUACAGUGUAACCGGACUAUCAGUUAUCUAGUGUAAAUGACUGGUUAUCAGAUCCUCCUGGUGGGGGUUCGGGAGGAGGGGAGGGCGAGAAGGCCCGAUCCUCAGCGCCGGAGUGGGGAAAGGAUAUAAGGGCCGGGGACCCCGAAAGGCCAGCUCAGUUCACAGCAGCAGGAGUAGGCUGGAGGUUCAGAAGUCUUGCCAGCCUCCCCGCACCCGCUCGCAGCUCUCUGGAGCCAGUGGGAGCAGCCCUGUUUACCUUUAGCUGGUCAAGGACACACAGAGUGGGCACUGAGGUGUCGAUCAUGCCUUUGUAAACACAGUGUCCCGGCUUGUAACGAAGAUUAGAUUUGGGGACGUGUUUCCUGCUGGUUUAAAAAAAAGUCUGACUCUAUAUAAAACAGGCUCUUUUCCAAAGAAGGCAGGAUCCACUCUGUGAAGGGAAAGAAGCCCUCCCAAGAAAUCCAAUUGUAUGGUUUCAUUUGUGUGAAUAAAGUUACAGGAAGGCCAAACUAAUCUACGGGAGAAAGAAAUCAGAAGAGGUUUUUUUUUGGGGGGGUGGGACUUCUUAGGAACGGGUCUGAGGGGACUUUCUGAAGUCAUCACCGUGUUCUGCAGCUUGAUGGGGGUUGAGUUGCACAGGUGUAUGCGCUUGUCAGAACUCAUCCCUGGCACACGAGAUCUGUGUGUUUCAUUGUGUGCAAACCUUAUCACACACACACACACAAAAUAACUGCAACAAGUAUUGACCUCUUGCUCAUGAUAUGAUGCUGACGUACUGGCCUAAAUGGGUACUGAUGUCUGCACCUCACUUUUUAAAAUUCUGUGUGAUAUUAAACUAUAGUUGAUUUCCAAUAUUGUGUUAGUUUCAAGCGUGCAGCUUCAGACUCUUUCCCAUCAUAGGUUGUUACAAGAUUUAUAAGAUAGUUCCCUGUGCAUCUAUUAAUCCCAGAUUCCUAAUUCAUCCCUCCCCUCCCCUUCCCCCUUCACUAACCAUGUAUUUGUUUUCUCUGUGUGUGAGUCUGUUUUGUAAUAGAGUUNNNNNNNNNNNNNNNNNNNNCCACAUAUAGUAUUUGCCUUUCUAUGCAUGACUUACUUCUCUUAGUACGUUAAUCUCUAGGUCCAUCCAUGUCACUGCAAAUGUCAAUAUUUCAUUCUUUUUAAUGACUGAGUGAUAUUUCAUUAUAUAUAUCAUGUAUAUGAUGCAUGUACGUAUAUCACACCUCCUUUACUCUUCAUCUGCUGAUGGACACUUAGGUCGCUUCCAUGUCUUGGCUAUUAUGAAUAGUGCUGCUGUGAACAGUGGGGUGAAUGUAUCUUUUCGAAUUUGAAUUUUUAUCUUUUUCAGAUAUUUGCUCAGGAGUGGGAUUGCUGUAUCAUAUGGUAACUCUAUUUUUAGGUUUUUUAAGGAAACUUCAGACUGUUUUCCAUAGCUGUUGGAACAAUUUCUAUUCCCUCCCACAGUGUAGGAGUGUUCCCUUUUCUGCACACUAUCUCCAGCAUCUAUUAUUUGUAGAUAUUUUGAUGGUGGUAGUUCUGACCGGUGUGAGCUGAUUGUAGUUUCAAUUU
rnacentral:lncRNA from 1 species